rfam:Cutibacterium granulosum DSM 20700 contig329, whole genome shotgun sequence.
UAGCCUGCCUCGCAUACAUGGUGCGGCCCCGAUGAGGCCGCAGUGAAUCCGGUGAGAAUCCGGGACUGUUGCGCAGCGGUGACGGUGACGACGUCGGCAAGACCACUGGGAGUGAUCCUGGGAAGGGCCGACCGAGGGUGAUCCGAAGUCCGAAGACCCCAUGCAUGACUUGUGUCGU